GCAUAUCAAUAAGCGGAGGAAAAGAAACCAACCGGGAUUGCCUCAGUAACGGCGAGUGAAGCGGCAAGAGCUCAAAUUUGAAAUCUGGCCCCCUCGGGGUCCGAGUUGUAAUUUGCAGAGGAUGCUUCGGGUGCGGCCCCCGUCUAAGUGCCCUGGAACGGGCCGUCAUAGAGGGUGAGAAUCCCGUCUGGGACGGGGUGUCCGCGUCCGUGUGAAGCUCCUUCGACGAGUCGAGUUGUUUGGGAAUGCAGCUCUAAAUGGGUGGUAAAUUUCAUCUAAAGCUAAAUACUGGCCGGAGACCGAUAGCGCACAAGUAGAGUGAUCGAAAGAUGAAAAGCACUUUGAAAAGAGAGUUAAAAAGCACGUGAAAUUGUUGAAAGGGAAGCGCUUGCGACCAGACUCGCCCGCGGGGUUCAGCCGGCAUUCGUGCCGGUGUACUUCCCCGCGGGCGGGCCAGCGUCGGUUUGGGCGGCCGGUCAAAGGCCCCCGGAAUGUAGUGCCCCUACGGGGGCACCUUAUAGCCGGGGGUGCAAUGCGGCCAGCCUGGACCGAGGAACGCGCUUCGGCACGGACGCUGGCAUAAUGGUUGCAAACGACCCGUCUUGAAACACGGACCAAGGAGUCUAACAUCUACGCGAGUGUUCGGGUGUCAAACCCGUGCGCGCAGUGAAAGCGAACGGAGGUGGGAGCCCCCCCGCGGGGCGCACCAUCGACCGAUCCUGAUGUCUUCGGAUGGAUUUGAGUAAGAGCGUAAAUGUGGGGACCCGAAAGAUGGUGAACUAUGCCUGAAUAGGGCGAAGCCAGAGGAAACUCUGGUGGAGGCUCGCAGCGGUUCUGACGUGCAAAUCGAUCGUCAAAUUUGGGUAUAGGGGCGAAAGACUAAUCGAACCAUCUGGUAGCUGGUUCCUGCC
rnacentral:rRNA from 1 species